rnacentral:rRNA from 1 species
UGCGUAGGUGGCCUGACAAGUCAGGGGGUCAAAGGCAACGGCUCAACCGUUGUAAGCCCUUGAAACUGUCGGGCUUGAGUUCAGGAGAGGAAAGCGGAAUUCCUAGUGUAGCGGUGAAAUGCGUAGAUAUUAGGAGGAACACCAGUGGCGAAGGCGGCUUUCUGGACUGAUACUGACACUGAGGCACGAAAGCGUGGGGAGCAAACA